GUUCGCGAACAUUUGCUUAAGUUCGCGUUCGCCGUUCGUGAACCGAAAAUUUUAUAUUCGCGACAUCACUAUCAGUAACCACAAGGAAGAGCUUCAGGGUUUAAUUCUGAGCAUGAGAUGAGUUCUUGUAACUUCUGUAUGGAGUCGCUAGUUACUUUUGAUGAAUGUACUUGGUUCCUUAAAUGGGACUUAGAAUGGAGAAAACCCAAUCUGAGUGGU